AAUGAACGCUGGCGGCGUGGAUAAGGCAUGCAAGUCGAACGGAGUUAGCAAUAAGCUUGCUUAAGGCAAACUCAGUGGCGAACGGGUGAGUAACACGUGAAUAAUCUGCCUUGAAGUGGGGGAUAGCCCUGGGAAACUAGGAUUAAUACCGCAUACGAUCUAUGGAUGAAAGCGGGGGAUCGCAAGACCUCGCGCGAUUGGAGCGGCCGAUAUCAAAUUAGGUAGUUGGGGCGGUAAAGGCUCACCAAGCCGACGAUCUGUAGCUGGUCUGAGAGGACGCACAGCCACACUGGGACUGAGACACGGCCCAGACUCCUACGGGAGGCAGCAGUGGGGAAUUUUGGACAAUGGGCGAAAGCCUGAUCCAGCCAUGCCGCGUGCAGGAUGAAGGCCUUCGGGUUGUAAACUGCUUUUGUACGGAACGAAAAGGUUUGGCCUAAUAAGCUGAGCUCAUGACGGUACCGUAAGAAUAAGCACCGGCUAACUACGUGCCAGCCGCCGCUGUAA
rnacentral:rRNA from 1 species